rnacentral:rRNA from 1 species
UUGAUCCUGGCUCAGAACGAACGCUGGCGGCGUGGCUAAGACAUGCAAGUCGAACGGACCGGUCAAUUGGGUAACCGAGAGGCCGGUUAGUGGCGAAAGGGUGCGGAAUAAGUAGGUAACGUGCCCUGCACUACAGGAUAGCGUCUGGAACUUCGGUUCCUUCCGAAAGGGGCGGUAAUACUGUAUAAUGUCAUAAAACAUAAGUUUUAUGANCAAAGAUUUAUCGGUGUAGGAGCGGCCUAUUUCCUAUCAGCUUGUUGGUGAGGUAACGGCUCACCAAGGCAGCGACGGGUAGCGGGACUGAGAGGUUGACCCGCCACAUCGGGACUGAGACACUGCCCGGACCUCCACGGAGGGCUGCAGUAACGAAUAUUGCGCAAUGGACGAAAGUCUGACGCAGCAACGCCGCGUGUAGGAUGAAGCCCCUCGGGGUGUAAACUACUGUCAGGGGUCAGAAAGUGCGCUUCGGCGCAUUGAUCAGCCCCAGAGGAAGUCACGGCUAACUUCGUGCCAGCAGCCGCGGUAAUACGAAGGUGGCGAGCGUUGUUCGGAAUCACUGGGCUUAAAGCGCGCGUAGGCGGAAUGGCAUGUGCUUUGUGAAAUCCCACGGCUUAACCGUGGAAUUGCUUGGCAAACUGCUAUUCUUGAGGCAAGCAGGGGUGUAUGGAACUCUUGGUGGAGCGGUGGAAUGCGUAGAUAUCAAGAGGAACGCCAAUGGCGAAGGCAGUACACUGGGCUUGUCCUGACGCUGAGGUGCGAAAGCGUGGGGGAGCGAACGGGAUUAGAUACCCCCGGUAGUCCACGCUGUAAACGAUGUCUACUAGGUUGUGGAAGUUCUGACGCUUUCACGGCCGAAAGCAAAAGUGUUAAGUAGACCGNCUUGGGGAGUACGGUCGCA